rnacentral:rRNA from 1 species
AUUGAACGCUGGCGGCAGGCCUAACACAUGCAAGUCGAGCGGAGCGGCGGACGGGUGAGUAAGGCCUGGGAAUCUGCCUGGUAGAGGGGGAUAACGUCCGGAAAGGGGCGCUAAUAACGCAUACUAGCAGAUGAGCCUAGGUCGGAUUGGCUAGUUGGUGGGGUAAAGGCCUACCAAGGCGACGAUCCGUAACUGGUCUGAGAGGAUGAUCAGUCACACUGGAACUGAGACAAGGUCCAGACUCCUACGGGAGGCAGCAGGGGGGAAUAUUGGACAAUGGGCGAAAGCCUGAUCCAGCCAUGCCGCGUGUGUGAAGAAGGUCUUCGGGUUGUCAAGCACUUUAAGUUGGGAGGCGUUACCAGCAGAAUAAGCACCGGCUAACUUCGUGCCAGCAGCCGCGGUAAUAC